rnacentral:rRNA from 1 species
UACGGAGGGUGCAAACGUUGCUCGGAAUCAUUGGGCGUAAAGCGCACGUAGGCGGCCUGUUAAGUCAGGGGUGAAAUCCUCCAGCUUAACUGGAGAAGUGCCUUUGAUACUGGCGGCCUUGAGGAAGGUAGGGGCAUGCGGAACUGAUGGUGGAGCGGUGAAAUGUGUUGAUAUCAUCAGGAACUCCGGUGGCGAAAGCGGCGUGCUGGACCUUUUCUGACGCUGAGGCGCGAAAGCCAGGGGAGCAAACGGG